CUCUUGUAAUAUUAGCACCGUGCUUAUCUAGAGAGGAAGCGCUUCUCAUUAGUCCUCCUUCAACACAAACAUGUUUGCUUCAGCUCCACUGCUGCUGCUGGCUCUCGCCCCCUAUGUGUUCUGUGCUACUGAGCUCAUCCAGCCAGACUCAGUGCUUAUAAAGCCAGGAGAGACUUUAACCAUCACCUGUAGAGUGUCUGGAGCUUCUAUCACUGAUAGCAGCAGCCACCAUGGAACAGCUUGGAUUCGACAACCUGCAGGAAAAACUCUGGAAUGGAUCAAUUUAAUUUAUUUUAAUGGGAAUAUUGCUAAGAAAGAUUCACUUAAAAACAAGUUUGUCGUCUUCCAAGACACUUCCAGUAACACUGUGACCUUACGGGGACAGAACAUGCAGACUGAAGACACAGCUGUGUAUUACUGCGCUCGUGAUGCACACUGACACAACAAGCUGCAGCGCUGCACAAAAACAUCAUCUUCAUCACAAUUCAGUUCUGUAUUUAAAUAAUAAGCACAUUUAACUGAUUAACUAAUUCCCACAUUACAGACACUUCAACCCAAACAUUUAGAUCAUUUAAUCAUUUAACAAAAACUAAUGCAAACGUUUACUCAGUUCAUAGUUAUUAUUAAUAAUAUAUUAUUUAUCUUAUUUAUCUUUUUAAAUGAAAUGCAUCUGAAUGUCCAGUUAACAUUCCACUUGCUUCACAUAUUUGAAAGCAGUUUGUAACUUCAUACUGUAUAAUUGAAUUUGAAUAGCAGUCAUAGUAAUUGGCUUUUAAAUUAAAUGAUAUCUCUGAUGCCAAAAAAAUGUUGUUUCUUAAUGACUAAUUUCUGAUGUUGAUUUAAUACACAACACAUAAGAGAGAGGU